rnacentral:rRNA from 1 species
GUAACGGCGAGUGAAGCGGUAACAGCUCAAAUUUGAAAUCUGGCUCCUCUGGAGUCCGAGUUGUAAUUUGUAGAAGAUGCUUUGGGUUGUGGGUUCGGCCUAAGUUCCUUGGAACAGGACGUCAUAGAGGGUGAGAAUCCCGUAUGUGGCCGAGGCCCGCGCCUAUGUAAAGCUCUUUCAACGAGUCGAGUUGUUUGGGAAUGCAGCUCAAAAUGGGUGGUAAAUUUCAUCUAAAGCUAAAUAUGGGCCAGAGACCGAUAGCGCACAAGUAGAGUGAUCGAAAGAUGAAAAGCACUUUGGAAAGAGAGUUAAACAGUACGUGAAAUUGUUGAAAGGGAAGCGCUUGCACCCAGACUUGGGCGCUGCUGAUCACCUUGCGGUCUCCGCGAGUGCACUCGACAGCGCACAGGCCAGCAUCGGUUCGGGUGGCUGGAUAAAGGCCGUAGGAACGUAGCUCCCUUCGGGGAGUGUUAUAGCCUACGGUGCCAUGCAGCCCAGCCGGACCGAGGACCGCGCCUUCGGGCUAGGAUGCUGGCGUAAUGGGUGUAAGCGACCCGUCUUGAAACACGGACCAAGGAGUCUAACAUCUAUGCGAGUGUUUGGGUGGUAAACCCAUACGCGGAAUGAAAGUGAACGUAGGUGAGAACCCCUUUGGGGCGCAUCAUCGACCGAUCCUGAUGUCUUCGGAUGGAUUUGAGUAAGAGCAUAGC